ACUCCUACGGGAGGCAGCAGUGGGAAUCUUGGACAAUGGGGGCAACCCUGAUCCAGCCAUGCCGCGUGAGUGAUGAAGGCCCUAGGGUCGUAAAGCUCUUUCGCCUGUGAAGAUAAUGACGGUAGCAGGUAAAGAAACCCCGGCUAACUCCGUGCCAGCAGCCGCGGUAAUACGGAGGGGUUAGCGUUGUUCGGAAUUACUGGGCGUAAAGCGCACGUAGGCGGAUCGGAAAGUUGGGGGUGAAAUCCCGGGGCUCAACCCCGGAACGGCCUCCAAAACUAUCGGUCUAGAGUUCGAGAGAGGUGAGUGGAAUUCCGAGUGUAGAGGUGAAAUUCGUAGAUAUUCGGAGGAACACCAGUGGCGAAGGCGGCUCACUGGCUCGAUACUGACGCUGAGGUGCGAAAGUGUGGGGAGCAAACAGGAUUAGAUACCCUGGUAGGCUCUGC
rnacentral:rRNA from 1 species